rnacentral:lncRNA from 1 species
AUCAGUCGCAGCAAAUACGCAUAAACAUCUAUUGCAGAAAUUCUAGAAUAAAGAACCUAUACGCUACUCUAUUUUUCAGCAGUAAAUUUCUGUACAAAGGCGUGAAUCAUAGAAUAAACAAAGAUAAUGAAGAGUAAAAAAAAUUAAAGCUACAAAAGGUCUCCUCUGAAAAGCUUAAAUACGUCAAAAAGGAAAAGGAAAGUAACAUUGGAUUUACCUCAGAAAAACGAGAUCGGGAGAAAGUGCAGGAAGCCGAAACAGAAAAAUCACUGGGAGCUCCACUAGAAGCUUCAUUGUACCAAAAUAUAUGAGCGUAGAAAGCUCAAAGGUACAACUUGAGUGUUAGCUGAAGGUGUUAUAUCCACCGCAGAGUGGUCGCCGGAAACGGAAAACUAACAUUCCGGAGCAAAUGUUGCCGGAGAUUCGGCUUUCACGCUGAGUGUUAGGUGCAGAUAUUUUCACGGCAGAGUAGUCGCCGGCAACGAAAACUGGUUUCCGAUGGAAAUGUGACCGGAGGUAGAUUCAGCUUCGACCUGAGUUUUAGAUGAAUUGUACCAAAAUAUAUCAGCGUAGAAAGCUCAAAGGUACAACUUGAGUGUUAGCUGAAGGUGUUAUAUCCACCGCAGAGUGGUCGCCGGAAACGGAAAACUAACAUUCCGGAGCAAAUGUUGCCGGAGAUUCGGCUUUCACGCUGAGUGUUAGGUGCAGAUAUUUUCACGGCAGAGUAGUCGCCGGCAACGAAAACUGGUUUCCGAUGGAAAUGUGACCGGAGGUAGAUUCAGCUUCGACCUGAGUUUUAGAUGAAGGUGGUGUGGUCGCCGCCUCGCCGGAAAGGGGAAACUAACUUCUGAAGGAAAUGUGGCCGGAGAUUCGGUUCGGAAAGAGCGACCGACUAACGGACUUGACUAGCUUUUGUUUAUUCUGAUUUAUUAAACGAGGAUUCAAUUUUAUCAAUUACAGAGAAAGUAGAGGAGAAGUGAAGUGAAAAUUUUCUACAUCAAUAAGGACAGAAUAAUAGAUUGUGCAUCAAGUACA